rnacentral:rRNA from 1 species
UACGGAGGGGGGCUAGCGUUGUUCGGAAUUACUGGGCGUAAAGCGCACGUAGGCGGCUUUGUAAGUUAGAGGUGAAAGCCCGGGGCUCAACUCCGGAAUUGCCUUUAAGACUGCAUCGCUAGAAUUGUGGAGAGGUAAGUGGAAUUCCGAGUGUAGUGGUGAAAUACGUAGAGAUUGGGAAGAACACCAGUGGCGAAGGCGGCUAUCUGGACGGUUUCUGACGCUAAGACGCGAAAGCGUGGGGAGCAAAACAGG